rnacentral:siRNA from 1 species
GGGGUCGAGUAUGUCUUCUGGU